UUUUAUUUGUAUUUUGGGCUUAGCCCAUAUUUCUUCCAUUAUAAAUAGAGGAAUUUAACAUAAGGGAGAUUAAUCUCAUACAUAAUUUUCAUUAUAUUCAACAUGGAAUCAGAGCAUAAGGUUCUUCGUUCGUAGCCCCUGCCCAUUAUAACCACCACCACCGUUAGAGUCGUCAUUGCCAGCAUUAGAGUUGUCGUCGUCGUCACCGUCAUCAUAGCAUUAUUUUCAACUGAUGGCCACAAUUUUUCUCGUCUCAGCCAAGCAACCACAACGUCGUCAAGAUCGCUACCAUCGGAGUCUAGACACGCUCUCACACAUCAAUCACAGUUUGCUUCAUCUAUGCUUUCUAGCCGCUCGUGACAACAUGUGUGUCAUUGUCUCCGUCGCCGACCACCUUCGUUGGACUCAUU
rnacentral:lncRNA from 1 species